UACGUAGGGGGCAAGUGGUGUCCGGCUGUACUGGGUGUAAAGGGCGCGCAGGCGGGAUAAAAAGUCAGUGGUGAAAUCCUACAGCUUAACUGUAGAACUGCCUUUGAUACUUUUAUUCUUGAGUUCGGGAGAGAGAGACGGAAUUCCAGGUGUAGUGGUGAAAUACGUAGAUAUCUGGAAGAACACCAGUUGCGAAGGCGGUCUCUUGGUCCGAUACUGACGCUGAGGCGCGAAAGCGUGGGGAGCAAACAGG
rnacentral:rRNA from 1 species